rnacentral:rRNA from 1 species
AGCUCCAAUAGCGUAUAUUAAAGUUGUUGCAGUUAAAAAGCUCGUAGUUGGAUUUGUGGUUGGAGCGACCGGUCCAGCACAGUGUGCAGGUACUUGGUUGUCUCCGUCCAUCCUUGGGGGGAAUUUGUGUGGCAUUAAGUUGUCGUGCAGGGGAUGCCCAUCGUUUACUGUGAAAAAAAUAGAGUGUUCAAAGCAGGCUUAUGCCGUUGAAUAUAUUAGCAUGGAAUAAUGAGAUAGGGCUUCGGUACUAUUUUGUUGGUUUGCGCACCGAAGUAAUGAUUAAUAGGGACAGUUGGGGGCAUUCGUAUUCCAUUGUCAGAGGUGAAAUUCUUGGAUUUUUGGAAGACGAACUACUGCGAAAGCAUUUGCCAAGGAUGUUUUCAUUAAUCAAGAACGAAAG